GUUCAGCUACUAUUCUCUAGUGGAAAGGAUGGAAUUUAUAGUAGAGAUGUGGAUGUAUGCUCAACCGGCAAUGAGAGAUCUUCUGGCCAAAGCAACCGGCACUCUGAGGAAAUAUGCUGAAACCACAACGAGGACUAUGACUGCCCACUACAGGCAAUUUGCUAGGUUUCAGUUCCAGUACUGUAAUUUUACUCUUUACUAAAAAGCUGCCAAGCUGGAGAUACUUGGGCUGUCCGACAUGUACCUACUUUGACAUGCUACAGUUCAACAAUUUUCAGUGGGCAGAGAUUUCCUUUCCUGGGAACUCAGUGCAGAGAGCACUCAGAUUUCUUUGAAGGCACAGCAGGCAGGACCCAAUGACCCAUCAUGUCCUGAGCCAGCGAUGCGGCGCCUAGCAAGCCAGCAGCUAUAUAGCUAGCCAGCACUAGGAUAAACUGAUGGAGUAGUGGACUAAGGUAGUGUUGCUUCCUGAUAAUGGGGAGUAGUACUAUACUAGAAACAAAAGCUGCUGCUUCCAAAGCAAACCUUUACUCCCAGCCUACCUUUGUUUCAAAUUUUCUAUUUCUUUGAAUAAUUAGAAGUUCCUUUGGAUCAGCAUGAAAAUGUUGCACAAUUGACGAAAGACUAAAAUAGUGGAGGAGUUAGUG